CACAGAGGAUGAAGUGUGGGUGUGUCAGGCAGGCAGUGCAUUGCUAGCUGGCUGUUAGAACUUUAUCCCAACAGUUGCUAGCUGCACUACCCUCUGCUGCACUCAGAAGCAUGCAAAGACGUG
rnacentral:pre_miRNA from 7 species